CGGUGGACAUCCACAAGGAGAAGGUGGCGCGUCGCGAAAUCGGCAUCUUGACCACAAACAAGAACACCUCUCGCACCCACAAGAUCAUCGCCCCGGCGAACAUGGAGCGGCCCGUGCGGUACAUCCGGAAACCCAUCGACUACACGCUGCUGGACGACGUGGGACACGGCGUCAAAUGGCUUAAAGCCAAGCAACACGGGAACAAUGCAGCAGGACGAGGAGGAACCCUGUCCAGGACCAACCCGCCUUCACAGAAGCCCCCGAGUCCCCCUAUGGCUGGCCGGGGGACGCUCGGGUAAGAAGCUACAGCGUAAUGCUACAUACAACUAAGUGUCUCAGAUUUAUUUUUCCAUAGGACCAAAACUGAACUAUCUGGGUUUUUUCGUGGCUGUUGACAGCAGCUCUCUUAACACCAUAGUGCAAACUUUUUUUUUGUACAGAUUGCAUGGAGUGUCGUGUGGGUUGGUGAAGAUGAACGUAGUCAAUUUACUGCAAUAAAUUUAGGCUUAKGUAAAAAAUGCUAGCCAGCUAGCUAGCAAGUAUUAAUAGCUGGCACCUUCAUCCACCUUGAUACACAGAGUGCAGUGAGUGAUGAUGUCUGCGUCUGGACUCAAACYUUAGCCUGAAAGAAAAGUCACAUUAGUGCAAGACCUGUGAUUAAUGUAUCUUAGGCAAGCUUACGUUUUCUUUCAUGAA